GGGGGCGGUUUGGGCUGCGUGUGUUCGGCCGCGGCGCGGUACCGAGCCGGGACCAGGAUCGGCCCCGCUCCGCGACCUGCAGCGAGCAGCCCGAAAGGCACAGGGAGCGAGGGCCGGGAGCUGGAUGGCGCUGUGGAAGCCUGAGGCGAGGGCUGAGCCUGCCCCUCCCUUGGCCGCCUUCGGCGAGCUUCGGCUCGGCUCUCCGCGUUGGGAGAAGCGAUGAGUCAGGUUUUCUCGGCUCCAUGCUAAUGCACGGCGAUGGAGGGUGUCAUCAGCAGAGCGGCAGGGCCGCGAUCUGCGGCGCAAGGCAGCCGGGCUACGCGCCUCCUCUGCGCCUCGGAGCAGCGCUGAGGUUCCUGGUCCGCGUGCUCUUCCAGCCCCAGCCGUGUGCGUGCAGGCUUUGGCGUCUGUGUGUGAAACGCCGCGUGGCGUCAUUCUGAUGUGGAAAGAUUACGAUGUGAAUCCCAUGAGCAAAUGAACCCAGGAUUUGAGGUGUGCACAACAACUGCUGACUCAUCAGGAUUUUGUCACUUCCCUGAAGAUGUUGCUGGCUGUUGGCUUCAGAUCUCAGGUUGUCAGUGCAAGCAGGGUUUUCUCAGAAGGUACCCACAAGAAGCAAUUAGAUGUGUGAGCAAAG